CCCCGCCCAACGCAUCUAGUUCGUUUUCUGGGCGGUGCCGUUGGGCGCACGUGGACGAAUCCAAGGAAGGUGCGCGAGAAUCAAAUGAAAAGCCAGGCUGCUUGCAGGCUGGUGGGAGAAGGCAGAGAGCAGCUUGAGAAAGGGACAGGGACUAAAGAGUGAGAAGAACAACAGAGACCUUGACAAAGGCUCACUGUAUCUUGGGCUAUUUCUUUUGUUUCUAUUGGCCUCAGGACACGCCUCAUUUUUCCAUGGGCUGAUUCGGCUGUUUCACAGGUGCUGUGCCCACCUCACCGUUACACCAUUUUCAGGGUUCACGGGGAGUCUCUUGCAGCAAAGAGGAUCCCUGGAGUCAGCCAGAGGACCACCACCAGAGUCUGAGAAAAUCAGGAAAUACAAUGCUGUCUUCCAAGUGUGCUAUCUUUCUGUCCUAUCACUGAAUCAAAUAAUCAAAGAAGUAGAAAUAAAGAAUAGGUAAUUAGCAUGACCAGAUCUCUUCCCUAGUUUCUCUUCAGCAAACCUGUGAACAAACUGUGUGAACAAGCUCUCAUCUAAGGAAAGAUCACAAGAAGUCAACAAGCUGGCAUGUACAAGGGGCUGGUGAGACUCUGAACCCCUACCUCAAUGAUUAAAUGAGAUUACUUCCCUUUUCCUCUUAAAAGCUAUCAUGGCUGAGCAGACUCUUUGGAGUUGGUCUUGGGAUGUGAAUCCAUCUUCUCCCAAGACUGCCAGCAUUCUGAUUAAAAGCAGUGUUCCUUUUUACCACCAUUUGCUUCUCUUUCAGGUAUUGACUUUUGAGCAGCAAGAAGCUGGACCUGAGUUCAGUAACAGUAGUGGAUACUGUUGAUAUAAAAUAUAUGAUAAAAUAUAUGAUUUAUGAUAUAGCCGCCACCCAUAGGGGUGAAUUUUAGCAUCCAUGGCCAGAAGAGUUAACCUCUGCUUAGGACUGAGAUCCAGGUCUUCUUGGAGGGCACAGCCCAACUGAACAGCAGAGAAAUCACCGAGAACCCCUCUGGUGGGUCUUGCCAGAAGUCCGAGGUCUAAGGUCCUGGGGAAAGCUGUUCAUAGGAAGGUGUCUCACUGAGGCACUGCAGGGCACUGGAGAAAGUUGUUCAUGGGAAGGUAUAUCCCUGGGGCAUUCCAACACGCUCCGCUACAGAACCACCUGGGGAAAUGUGGGUACCUGGAAUUGCUAUUAAUACUAGUUGCUGGAUGCCUCUGGCUGCCUACACUGCAGACUCUAGACACUUCAGAGGCAGUCUACACUUCAGGGGCCUGGCACUUGGGAAACUACUUACUUGGCCAGAGGAGGCUGUGUAGGGAGUCACUGGAGCAUAUAAAGCAAAUCUCUCUUAAAUUUUCUCUCUAGCACCCUCUGCUGAAAAAGGAUAGCAUAGUGCCAGCUAACAAAGCUGAGAUAUUUAAAGGCCCAGAUCCAGUUGCACAGAAUAGGCAGAAAGGGUGAUAGUAGAGCUAACUGGUAAUAAACUGAUAACCUACACAAUCUGCUCUAAGGAGUUUUAUAUUUGCCAGUCAGGACAGGCAAGAUUACAGAAUUCAAGUUAGAGCUCAAUUUGCUCUCACCAAAAUAUUUGAGGCUGGAAUGAGAACUGCACGCUUUCAGGGUAGUUCUUCCUGAGGCACAGGUGGAACAGUUGAAACCCAUUUUUUUUUUUCUCCAUCAAUGUUCUUCCCUAGGUCGACAGAGAUCUCCAAAUCCAUACCCCUCAAAAACUCAGUUUUUCACUUGACAUGGGUAGAUAGACUCCAGUACUCCACAGCCACAUGUAAUGCCCUUCAGAUCUUACUUGGAUUUAUCUAAACACCAUAAGAUCACAAUUUUUAAACUUUAUCUUCUCCUUGUUAAUGGCAGAAAGUCCUAAUAGUCUACACUAUCUCUUUGACUUUCUGUGUAUAUGACCAGAUGGUCUGUAAGUGGUGGUUGUCAUUGUUGUUGUUUUGUUUUUAGGGCUAAAACUAGGACUUCCAGGUCAAGUUGAAUAGAACAUAUGUGGUUGGUGUCUGUUUUAUACCUGUUUAUAAAUUCAUCAUUAUUAUUUUGCUGUAGAUGGUGGUAGAUACAAUUUAUUAGUUUUGGCAGUUCCUCUCUUUUCUAAAUUGAUGUGAGAUUUAAUAAUUUUUAUCAUGAAGAUUUAAUCUUACCUCUUACUGUCUUGAGUCUAUUCACAUGAUUGUAUCAAUCGUCCAAAGGUGAUGCCAUCUAUUCAUUGAUUUAUUAAUGUUAACCAUUCUUAUAUUCCUGAGGAAGAAAAAUCCUGGUCAAGAUGAGUUUAUAUAAUAUUCAUUGCUAGUUUCAGCUUGGAAAUGAUUUAUACAUUUCCCUCUAUGUUUAUAGAUAAGAUGAUAUAUAAUUUUUCUUAUUUGUACUGUCCCUCUAGGAAUUUUACUAACAAAGUCAUAAUAGGGUCAUAAGUUGAACUGAGAUGUAUUUUCCUCAUUUUUAAUUUUCUGGGGGGCUUAUGACAGGGACUAUCCUAUUGGUUCUUUCCAGGUGAGGUGAUGGAUGUGUUAAUUAUCUUGAUCUUAGUAGUAAUUCUACAAUCUAGGCAUAUUAAACUUUCAUGUAGUACACUUUAAAUUAAUAUGUUUGUACAUUCUAUCACAAUUAAAAAUUUUAAAACAUUUAUUUAU